GGAAAGUGUGUGUAGGACUUUUGAAAAACAUUGACAACUGGUCCUCACUAUUAUUGUGAAAAUAAAUUUUAAAAGAAAGUCUCCUAGAAAGCUAAAUGUUGAAAAAUGUGAGUAAAACUAAAAUAUUUUGAUACUCAGCAAUGCUGUACAUUUUAGUAUUACAGUGUAAAAUCAACCAACAUUAAAAACAGAAAACAAUGAGAAAAAAGAGAUAAGAUAUGAUAACCUUUAUUAUUCCAACACGUGGGAAAAUUGUUUUGUCACAGCAGGAAGUGGACAGUGAAAAAGUUAUAUACCAAAAUUGGAAUACAAUAAGAAUAAAAUACUGUACAGAAAUAUACAAAGUAGAAUAGAAUAAAAUACUACAUAUAUUGGAAAAAAUAGAAUAAAAUAUACAAUAGGAUAAAAAAUAGAAUGCAAAUGAGAAGACCAAGUCAAAUUUUUAAUCACUUCAGAAUUUUAACGAUUCUGAUAAUUGCCACUGUGAUAAUCAAUUCUUAAGUAAUUAAGUAAAGUGUAUCAUUUUUGUCAUAAUGUACCAACUACAUUGAAACAUCCAUCUAUUCACUUGCGUUUGUCCUCUAAAGGCUUGCGUGAGGUCGCUGUCAUAGGGCGAGAGGCGAGGUAUACCCUGGACAGGUCGCAAGUCUGGCGCAGGGCAAACACACAGGGACAGAAAACCAUUAGCACUCACACCUAUAACUUAGAUUAAUCAAUUCCACACAUAUCUUUGGACAGUGGGAGGAAGCCAGAGUACCCAGAGAGAACACAUGCAAACAUGUGGAGAAUAUGCAAACUCCAGACAGAAAGAAAACAGCAUGAUGGUGGAAUUGAACUGACAACAUUCUUGCUAUGGGGCAACAGUGCUAAACACCAUGCCACUGUGCAACUCAGAUUAAAGGAUCUGACAUUAAAAUGAGUAAUUAAAGACUAUCAAAAUUAGCUUUUGGAAAGCUAUUCUGCACCUCAAUGUAAUUUUAUUUAUGCCCAAAAUAUACAUAUUCUACAGAAAAAUCAGAACCAGAGAAGCUUUAUUAAUUUGACGGUGAAAUUUAAUACAAGUACCCUUUAAUAUCUGAGGAUUCUACAGUAAAUCUGGCUGAAACUUGGCACACAGGUACAGUAGGUGUCCCAGAGGGGGGAUGUGUUGAAAGUUGGACCUCAACUAUUCAGGAUGACUUUUAAUGAAUUUUUGAAAUAAACAUAAUUGUAGUGCAUUGACUGUAUUGCACUGAAUAUGAGUUUACUGUGAUUUCUGAGUAAUAUUACAGUAAAUCUGGGUAAAAACUGGCCCAGAGGUAAAGUAGGUGUCCGAGAAGAGGAUUGUGUUGAAAGCUUGGCAUCAACUUUUAAGAAUGAUUUUUAAUGAAUUUUUGAAUAUGCAACCAGACUGUCACGAUGGCUGUGUUGGGCUGUUCCAUUGUAAUUUGUG
ensembl:lncRNA